rnacentral:rRNA from 1 species
GCAACGGAUCUCUUGGCUCUCGCAUCGAUGAAGAACGCAGC